CAGCUGGGGCCUGCUCACAGGACGCCACCCUGAGGCCAAGAUAAGGGACUGGCCGAUGGGAUGCCUUCAUGCAGCAAAUCCACUGUGUCCUACGCCACGUGCCACUGGCCCCUCAGGGAGCUAAC